rnacentral:lncRNA from 1 species
GAAGGAGGAAGGUGGGAAGGCCUGGCCGCCCUGCACUACCCCCGGGGGCGCGCGAAUGAGGUCGGACCUGGCGGACCCGGAGAGGGAGCAGGGGCAGGACUCCUUGGGUCCAAACCCGAAGUGAUCUCCCAUCUGAAGCGAGGGGAAGAGCCCAAGAUGGAGGAGAGAGGAGCCCAGCGAGUUCCCUGUCCAGACUUGGAGACAAGCUCUGCAACUACUCAGGAGACACUUCCCAUAAAGAAUGUUUCUGAAGAGGCAGCUUCCCCAAAGGGAAAGAUGGAGGGUAUUUUAAGGGCAGUGCUUGGAGACACC